rnacentral:rRNA from 1 species
AUAAGAGGUCCCGCCUGCCCUGUGACUCUAGUUUAACGGCCGCGGUAUUUUAACCGUGCAAAGGUAGCGCAAUCACUUGUCUUUUAAAUGUAGACCUGUAUGAAUGGCAUAACGAGGGCUUAACUGUCUCCUUUUUCCAGUCAAUGAAAUUGAUCUCUCCGUGCAGAAGCGGAGAUAAUUACAUAAGACGAGAAGACCCUAUGGAGCUUUAGACAAAAGACAGACCAUGUUAAACAAACUGACCUAAACAGAAUAAACCUAUUGGCCUACUGCCUAGAUGUCUUUGGUUGGGGCGACCGCGGGGUAAUAAAAAACCCCCACGUGGAACGAGAAUAUUUUCUCAAAACCCAGAUUGACAACUCCAAGUAACAGAAAUUCUGACCAAAAAUGAUCCGGCAUAUGCCGAUCAACGAACCGAGUUACCCUAGGGAUAACAGCGCAAUCCCCUCCUAGAGCCCAUAUCGACGAGGGGGUUUACGACCUCGAUGUUGGAUCAGGACAUCCUAAUGGUGCAACCGCUAUUAAGGGUUCGUUUGUUCAACGAUUAAAGUCC